CGGCGCGCAGGCUCGGUGAAGCGCAGUACGCGCGGACCGCGGGGAACGUUUCCUAGCAACUGGGGGAGGUGCGACGUCAUGGUGGCGGGUUCCGACAGCCGCUGCCACUGUAGAACCGCCGAGUGCACCUUCGAGUCCUUGCGGUUGGAGGUAGCGCUACUCGCUGCCCUGUGUCCGCACGUUUUCGUCUUCCCAUACAGUCUUAUCCCGCUCCUGAUCGCUGAGAACAACCUCUUGCGCGCCUCCGCCCCUGAGGCCCGGACCGGUGGAGGUCCCCGGCCUCGGUGGGACGAUGCUGGAGUCCAUUCGCGUGACGGAAAAGCUUCACUGGCCUGAGCAAGAACUCGCUAAGAAGUCUAUUCUAAAUGCAGAAGAUUCAUUGAUCAUUGACAGCAAAAGAAGCCUUUCACAUUUACCUGCUGGAAUACUAAAGGACAUUUUCACAACUGGAACCAGUAGUUACAAUGUCCUACUACAAAGCAAGGAGGAGAGAAAGCAUCAUUUACAAAAACAGUCUUCGUCCACCUACUCCAAAAGAUGUAGAAAACCCAGCAAAUCUCCUAGCUCCCCUCAUAGUAAAGAUCCUUGCAGGACGAAAACCCCAGUGCCUGUGGCAAGCACUGGUACUUGGUACUGCCUGGAGAGGCAGCCUACUAUUUUUGUCACUAAGUCAGUGUCAAGUCCUGUAAAGUUUACACAUGAUAUCUCUGUUACAGGGAACAGCCUAAUACUGCCACCUAAACCAAAAAGCAAGGUCAAGCGACGCCAUUUCUCCGCUCUUCCAAAGCCAAAGCAGCAGCCUCAGUUCUGUAGAAGCUUUGAAAAAGCAGAUGAGUUUUCUGGAAAAAAAUUUUGCAUAUUGACUGCUAUAAAGCCUACCAACUUAGAGAAAGAGAAACUGAGAUUCUUCAAGUCUGACUAUACCUACAAUCCACAGUUUGAGUAUGCUAAUCCUGCUCUGCCAAGUGUGUUAGCCAAACACAGCAACGCAUCUAACCGAUUUCUUAAGCAGGGUGUUUCAGUAAAGACCAGGUAUACUUAG
rnacentral:lncRNA from 1 species